rnacentral:tRNA from 3 species
GGUGAGAUGGUCGAGUGGUCGAAGGCGCAUGCCUGGAACGUAUGUGUAGAGCAAUCUACCGAGGGUUCGAAUCCCUCUCUCAUCGCCA